ensembl:lncRNA
CUAAUCCCAAAUCAGCUCUGUGAGAGACCAAGGUUCGAGCAUCAGAAGACAGACUGCAUGGGAGCUUGGGAGUGAGACCCAGACCACUCCGGUCAGUCUUGGAUGCUUUUUCUUGCCUCUCAUAACACUACAACAAUGUGUCUAUUGAGCACUCUCUGUGUUUCCUGUGCUACAGUCCCAUUCAUUUUUUUUUUCAUAUGAAGACGUUGAUUUUUAGGCUAAAUAGCAAGUUCAAAGUGAUGUCCUUUGUCCAUAGAGGAGCUGGGACUCAGUCCAAGCCUGUUUACAGUCUAAACUGCCCAUCAAAGGGGCUUUUCCUUCUGAGUUAGACCGGUGGUGCAGAUAGAAGGCUCUGUCCUAGCAUCAGUUAACCAGGGACUUGAGAGUAUCACUUAGUCUCCCUGACUUCAUCUGCUCUUAGAGGACAGGAGAAGGGGUCCAAGGAGAGCCCAGAUUUCUGUGGCAACAUCUGAACAUUGGUGAGGCAUCUAAAAACUAGUUCACACCUGUGGGACACCACUGUAGUUUCCAGGAAGGAGUUCUCUGCUUAUCUUUUUUUUUUUUUUCAGACACCUUCUUGAAGAGAAGCUAGGUGGGAGCUACAGAGGGAGCCCAAGUCAUCAGGGGGCCUGGCAUGAAAGCUGCAGUUCAAUCAAUCUGCUAGGGCAUUUGUCCUAGACUACUUCCGUGCUGGGGCCAAUUCAGACAAACACGCCAUGUGUGUUGUUGGUACUGUGCAGUCUGAGUCUAGGCAAAACAGUGACCCUAUUAAGGACAUUGUCCUUCCUCUUUUGUUUUGUGAGAUCUGUUCCUCAGGAAGGGGAGAAUUACCACUGAAGGCUACUGCAUCUCUCCUGAUCCAAACCAUUCACUCACUUUCCUUUCACUGUCAGUCCUUGUUUGGGGCAGGAAUGGGAGGUUUAGCCUGCAGCAACAGCAGCCCUGCCUGCCUUCUGACACACACACACACAGGUUUCUGUGGCAAGAACUUGCCCCUGGUCAGCCAUGCCUGGCCUUCUCAGCAUCCCAGCCAAGGGCAUAAUAGCUGAGGAAGGUGAGAGAGGCAGCUAAGGGGCCUGGGUGACACAGUGGAAGCAAACAGUGGAAAAGGCCAGGGAGGGCAAAGACAGAAGAGGAAGGGUGGCAGCUGCUGACAGCUGGUGGCCUGCCCACUUCUGUUGUGGUGGGGAAGGAAAGGAGGGAGAAGGGGAACAAUGUGUGGGCUUGAGCAGAAGACUAAAGUCCCUUGAAGUUCAAGCUUCACUUUCUGCAGUCAAUCGGUCAGAAAACUCAACACGCUGUCUUUCAAACCAACCUAGAGUGUAGCGUCUAAUUACUUCAGAGAAAGAUCCAGAGGCAAAUAGCCUUUAUUCACUGUAUCAGCCCAAGAUCAUGUUGGAAAGAACAUUCUAGUAACCUGGCAUGGGGCCAGAGAACUUUUAGGCUCCGUGUCACCUUUAUCUCCUCCUUUGCUUUCAGCACUCAGUCGCUCUGUCAAGAGUCUCCAGUGACAUAGUUCUGCCUUGACCUGCUUUCCCUCCAGCCUCAGCAUUCCCGGGAUUAUAGACCAACAGCUUGCUGCUUCCUGUAGCUACCUUUACCAUCACACAUUGGCUUCCAGCAGCAGACCCUUCUUUAGGCCUUCACAGGCAGGUGUUUCUGUUCUUCUAGAACCAAGGGCAUAUGCCUUUCACCCCUCUGUGAUACUCUCUUGAUGAGUCAUGUUGUGUCUCACUACUGGACAGCAAGUGACCAUCUCUAUGAUCAAAAUGUUCAUUAAAUACCACAUCCCUUGGCCCUCAUCAGUCGUGUGGUCCAGCCACUACCCCAAACUAACAAACUAGAAACAGAGUGGGAUUCAGAUACUUUGGAGUCCCAGGCAAGUCUGGCGGUUCCCAGGAGUUGGCCAGAUAGCAGGCAGUGAUGGGUAGGCAGAGUUCUCUGGGCAUGAGAUGGGUACGUGAAAACUGUGGGGAGCUGACAUAAGGCUAGUGGCCUCUGAGAACUGAGGCUCUGUCUGCCAGGAGAGGGCAUCAGCUGCAGCUGUCGAUUAGGAUUGUUAUUUUUAUCUGAUGAGACUUGACUAGUCCCCUAACCUUCUUACCCAAGCCAUUCACCUGGAUUCAAAAGGCCUCCAAAAAAGCUAAGCGUGCUUGUAUGCGUCUGUAAGGUCAGCAUAGGGGAGGUGGAUGCAGGAGGAUCAUGACUUUGGGGCUAUCCUGGGUUGCAUAGAAAGACAUGGUUUCAAAAAAGAGAAAAAUUUCCAAGUGGAAGCUGGCUAGCAAAUAAGGAGACUUUUCAUGUCAUGGUCCCAUGUGAAGAACAGAGUCAGCGCCAUUAAGAUGUCACUCUCUCUGAUUUCAAGUGUGUGUGUGUGUGUGUGUAUGUGUGUGUGUAUACUCAUGCUCAGGUACUGGCCCAGUGUUGUGACUUUUGAGGGGAAAAUUUUAAUACAUGGCAUAAAUAUUGGUAGAAAUUAAUAUUCUUUGUGUAAGAGUGAAAAAGUAAAAGCAAAGAACAUAUCACUUGAUGAUAAUAGAUUUAAAAAUCCAAGCUAGGUGGUGAUGGGGCACCCCUUUAAUCCCAGCAUUCGGGAGGCAGAGGCAGACAGAUCUCUGUGAGUUCCAGGCCAGCCUGGUCUACAGAGAAGUUCCAAGACAGCCAGGGCUACACAGAGAAACCCUGUCUCGAAAAACCAAAAGAAAAAAAUCAACCUGCACAGAGCAAUAAGAGGCUUUUAAGGCAGUGUUAUCCCAAAUGUCAGGCACAUAAAAGAAAUUCACAAUUACAUCUCACUAAGAAGGAGACAUACUACCCAUUAAAAAGAAGCAGGGCCCUGUUCAAGCAAAGGUUGGCUUGAGAUCAGGGUAGGGAAGAGGAGGAAGAUAAGUUUGCCAUCUUGUCUUUUCCUCUCCCACCUCACUGAGUUGCCCAGUGAGGACAGACACUGCAAGGAGGGUUCACUAGAUACUUUUGGGACAAACUGAUAUCAAAAAGAGUAAGUGACUACUUUAGACAAUCAAUCAACAAAAAAAAUCCCUUAGUCCAAAAUAGUAAAAUCUUAAAAAAAAAAGAAAUUUACUAAUGUUAAUUAUUUCAUUUACUCCAAUAGCUAGAAAUUUAUAAAAUUAGAUUUUUUUGGAAUUUUGAAAAGAGUAAAGCCUUUAUUCAAGCAUUUUAAGAAAGUCCUGAAAAAUCCUCCCCAAUUUUUUAUAGAGAAAAACUAAUUAACCUCUAUAGAAUGAGUGUCAGAAUAAGAAAAUCACAGACAAGCUUGACAAUGCAGGCCUGUAAUCUUACAUACUUGGUAGGCUGAGGCAAGAGGAUAGCAAGUUUAAGACCUUCCUGAGCUACAGAGUUCAGAGCCAGCCUGGGCAAUUCGGUGAGAUGGUGUAUCAGAAUGGAAAAUAAAAAGAGAGCCAGGGUGCCCCACUUGGUGUUGCAUGUCUUCAAUCUGAGCCCUCAGGAAGCAGAGGCAGGUGGAUGUCUGUGAGUUUAAGGCCAGCCUGGUUCAAGUUCAAGACAAGCUGGGUCUGUGAGAAUCUAGAAGAAGAAGAAGAAGAAGAAGAAGAAGAAGAAGAAGAAGAAGAAGAAGAAGAAGAAGAAGAAGAAGAAGAAGAAGAAGGCUGGAGAGAAGGCUCUGUAGUUAAGAGCACUUGCUGCUCUUGCAGAGAACCCAGGUUGGCUCACAUAGUGGCUCACCAUUCAUACUUCCAGUUCCAGGGGAUCUAAUGUUCUCUUUUGGCCUCCGAGGGCAAUAUAUACAUGUGGUAUACAUACAUACACACAAGCAAAUCACUCAUAUAGAGAAAACAAAACAAAUAAAUCUUUAAAAGAAUUUAAAAAUGAAAAGGGGGGCAUCCAGGGAUCUGACUCAGUAGCAGCAUGAGUGCCCAGCAUACACAAAGGACAUGAAUUCACUUUCCAGUAAAACCACCAUUGCACAAUCUCAAAUGAAAACCAGAUUACAUUAAAGAUAACCAAUUAAUGCCAAAGCCAGUAUGUGAAAUAGUUUGGAGGACACCAUAUCCUGAUGACAAUACAACAUACCAAAGUAUCAUUCCAGAGGCUACUGGCCAAUUGCAGAGCUGAGGUUUCCAGAGCUCAGAGCUGGUGGUUAGUACCUUCAUCAUAUAAUCAAGUCUAGCACUACCCACAAUGCUUCCUGACAUGAAACAAAGCUAAGUGCCCUAUCUCACUUCUGAAGGACUCUGAUGCCAAUGCUCACUCUCGGACUCUCACUUUCACUCCAGUCUACAUGGAGUGAACCAUAGUUAAUCCAAAUGAGGACAUCUGAAGAGUGUAAGGCUUACAAGUAUGCUAAGACCACAGUGCACAGGCAAAAUAUUAGGCAAACUGGGAAAUGAGAUCCUUAAGAAAUAAAGAAUAUAGAAGAAAAAGUUGUAACAUGCAAAGGAGACAAUAAUGGUGGUUUUUUGUUUUGUUUGGGGGGAUAGUUGCUAUUAUUUUUGUUUUUAUUUUUUAAUACAGAUGUAGAAAUUCUAUGAGGCAACCACUUGGUCUUGAAAGAGAGAAAAGAGGGGAGGAAGAAGGAAAGGAAAAAAAUAAGAGGAACUGUUCAAAGCUAAACCAGACUCAAGAGCCAUGACAAUCAAGUACAAUCAAUGCAUGACCCUAAUUUGGAUGUUGGUUUAAGGAAAUGAACUACAUAGAUUGUUUGAAUCAACUGCAGAGAUUUUAUUGUGAUCUGGAUAUUAAGUGGUAUUAACAAUUUAGGUGAUGUUAGCAAUUUAGGAAUUGUUUGUUGGUUGAGGGGUGGUGUAGACGGUCCUACUUAGACAAUUUUUGGGUGGUAGGUGCUGAUGGACUUAAAGUGUAAGGGUCAUGAUUCCUCUAACUUAUUUUCAAAUGGUCAUUAAAAAUGUUGGCGUGACUGGACAGGGUGAUGGGACACGGGUUUUAUUGUACCAAUCUUUCAGCUUGUCUCCGAGUUUGCAAUGCUAAUGUUUAAAGCUACUGCAGUAUUCCAGAUGGUUGUCACUGCCAAGCCCCUAUGCAGAAGCAACAGGGUGUUGGGGCUGCCCAGUGUCCCAGGCAAGGUCAGUACUGCCCCCAGAAAAGGAGAGUGCUGCUCAAGAGACCCAUGGUGUCUCUUGGACACCCCCCCAUCUUGUUUCUUUUUUCGUCUUAUGGCCUGCCCAAAUCCCACCCACCUUCAACACCACCACCCCACCCCCACCCCCGCCGCCCCAGAAGCCUGUCAAACUUCAUCCAGGUCUGCUAGACUAUCUUCUCUGACUUACUCUAUGUCUUUGUACUUCAGCUCUAGUUUUCACUUUGAGCAUAUGCCAGUCUUCGUUUACUUUCUGAAAAUAUGCAGUUACUUUGAUGAAAUGGCUUAUAUCUAUAUAUCCACACUAAAAGGCUAUAUUCUGUUUCAUUGACCUUUUAUCCUUUUUCUAUCAUUUCCUCUGAGAUAGGUUCUCAAUAUGAAGCACAAAAGGUAUAGAACUCAUGACCCUCCUGCCUCUGCCUCUGAAGUGCUGGGAUUAUAGACAGCAUUGCCACACCUGGCUGUGAUCUUUCUUCACAGCAAACAUAAAGCUAGGAUGUGGUUUAGCUGUGACUUCCUUGUUAAAUCCGGUUGAUAGUGGAAGACUGCAAAGGAAUGAGCCAAACACAGCUGGUGAGACAGCAGCCUCGGUUCUAACUCAGGCAGUGAACUGAGCAACAGCGACUGAAAUCCUAAGCAUUUGCGACGAUGGCAAACUCUUCCCGAACUGAGUCUGUGCACAGAGUAAACUGUCCUAAAAAUGAGUCCAGGAAGUCACUGCUAGUCUAACUGGCCUGGCAGAGACACUUUUAUCUUCCAUCUGACUCUCAGACUACUGAAACAAUGGACCACAAGAAGCUGGAAUUCCCCCAAGAAUCUCAAGCUGAGAGAAGAAAAGACCUAAACCUAGACCAGCCAGGAAAGGGAUUUACAACCUGUCAUUUCACCUUCCCGAAAGGUCAGUGGCUGGCGGGACCACACCUUGACUGAAGACUUCUGAGCUACGCAUAACUCUGGUUAAACUUUAACCCCUCAUCAGGACCCUGCAGAUGGACUUGGGCGGGUCACUAGACUUCUUUGUCUCCCUUCCCAGUGUGGCAACAUUGAAUGUAGCUCUGUUUUAAGCUCUCACUGUUAAAAUGUCUGCUUUAAUUAGUUUAUCAAGGACAGGUGGCACGAACUGAGGAAUCAAACUUUAUUUCUUCAGUGACUCUCCCUUUAUCAUCAACUUCAAUGCUGUGGGUUUCCGUGAGGUCUCCAUUCUACCUGAGUGUCUUGUCCACCUUCAAACUAUGUCUCUAGUCUCCUAGAGGCCCAGAUCCCUCAAUGCUGACCUCACCAGCAUCUCCUUCACCAUGAAUCCAGAAUGUUCUCCUCUGGUAGAUUCUCCAUACUUGGGAGUGGCCCAGUUUCUUUUGUUCUUGUAUUCAGUCAGAUUUAGCAGAUAAACAUAGAGGAUAUAAAGGAUAGAUACCCAGUUCAAUUUUAGAUAAACAAGUGGAUACAUAGUUAGGAAAAGCCUGUCCCAAAUACUGCAUAGAAUUCUAUAUUUUUAACUUACAAAUCCAUGAUCAGGAAACCAAGGCCUGGAGAAUGAACCAACUUACAAAUAUUUUUAUUUAUUAUUUAUAUUUUAUGUGUAUGAGUGUUUUGCCUAGAUGCAUAUAUGUGCACCAUGAGCACUCCUGGUGCCCCAGAUGCCAGAGGAGGCUGUUGGAUCUCCUGGAACUGAUGUUCCGGAUGGUUGUGAGCUGCCAUGUGAAUGCUGGUAGCAGAACCUGCGUCCCCAGGAAGGGCAAUAAGUGCCCUUAACAGCUGAGCCAUCCCUCCAGCCCUUGAAAAAUCUAAAAUAGAUCAAGAUUCAACCUAGAAGGAAACAAGAAAGAACUAAGACUGACUCACUCCAAUCUAGAGAGAGUGUUCUUUUUACAAAGAUAACCGUGUCUCUGGUCAGAACAAGGAAGCCGGUUGUUUAUGAAAAGAAUUUUGUGUGUGCCUUAAUGUUACUAAACUAUCAAUGUAGUCCCUUAGGGUGAGUUGGCUUAUGAAAGGUGUCCUAUCCCAGCCUCGAACUGUCCAAGGGAAGAAGUCAAAUUCCCUCUUGCAUAACCAAGUGAGGACUGACAGACUAGAAACUUCAGCAGCUUUGAAGUUGGAAUGGAAAAAUCAAAUGGGUCAGUGUCAUUCUCUGAGACCACCCCCAUUUUGUUCCUUUAUAAACAAGAGGACCCUGCAUCUAAGAAGGAACGGGUAUCUAUGCAAGGUCACGUCACAGAAGCAGACAUUCAAUACUGGCCUGCAAUAUAACGCAUACAGAGAUUUUCCAAACUAGGAAAUAAGUGGCAAACCCCAUAGAAAAGUGAGCAAAUGCAAACAAGGUUAUAUAAACAAGCACAUAAUCUUACCAAACCAAAGAAAUUCAAAUAAAGCAAGCAUGAGAUGCCAGUUCUUUUUUUUUUUUUUUUAAAGUGAUCCAAAGUUAUAUUAUUUAUGGCACACUUAGUUACAAGGAAAUGGGUAAACUGUUUUCCACAAACUUAAUGCGUAAUCAAGCUGUGAUGGGCAAAGGAACACAGAGCACACAAAACAGAUAUUAAAUACAUGGCUGUCACAAAACCAAAGGGCAUGCAUAUAAAUAAAUAUGGUGUGAUAAAAUGUUUGAUUUUUAACAAUUACAAACAAAUGCAUGUCUUAUAAUCAACUGGGUAAAUAUACUAAGGGAAAAAAAGCAACACACCUGGAGGGAAAAAUGGGCACUAGAAUAAUAAUAAAAGUAAAUGUCAGCACUAGUAGCUCAUUUUUUUAUUAGUUCAAAUUAGAAACAAGCUUGCUUCACAUGACAAUCCCUUCUCCCUCUCCCUCUCCCUCCCCAACCUCCCACCAGCCCCCACCUCACCCCGCCUCUGCUCCCCAGGGAGGGUAAGGCCCUCCAUGGGGGUUCCCCAAAGUCUGUCAUAUCAUCCUUAGAGGUACCAAUUCUUAAGUCUUCAAAAAUAAUUUAAAGAUGUGGUCCUACUCAGGCUUGUCAAAGGGUUUGAUCUUGUUGAUAAAGGACUGGCUACUGAUAGAAACUUCUUAAACAGUGUUUGAUAACAGGUCUCAGGAUUCUUAAAAUGGCUUUGUAUUUAAAGAAAGGUGAAAAAUUUAGACAUUAUCCCUAAGCUUAGGGUUUACUUUCAAUAGUGUAAAUGUAGAGUACACCUUGAGAUGAUAAGUUACUUAAUGUUUAAAUGUCAAAUAUGUAAAAUCAGUAUUUCAUUUAGGAAUUUUUCAAAUACAAACAAUAGACAACCCAUGAAUGACCCAAUAGUCCUGGGCUGGGCAGGCUGCCAAACUCAGGACCCAAGCAUCACGCUUAAGACUAUUUCUCCCUUAUUCUGGGCCACUUGCUUAGUUCCUUCCACCAAGAUGGCCAGAUGGCUCUUGUUCAAUGAGUUGCUGGAUCUAGCACAUAUCAAUUAUUCAGAGACAAUAGUCAACUUGUAGAGAAUUUUGUGAACCUGUAUUUAACAAUGUUGUUAUUUGAAACAUGAUAUACAUGGGAUUAAAAUUAAAUGUGUUGAAAAAAAUAAAUGUAACAGGUCCAUU